ACGCUGACAGAAUGCCUAACACAUGCAAGUCAACUUGAAUUUGGGUUUUUAACUUAGAUUUGGGUGGCGGACGGGUGAGUAACGCGUAAAGAACUUGCCUCACAGCUAGGGACAACAUUUAGAAAUGAAUGCUAAUACCUGAUAUUAUGAUUUUAAGGCAUCUUAGAAUUAUGAAAGCUAUAAGCACUGUGAGAGAGCUUUGCGUCCCAUUAGCUAGUUGGAGAGGUAACAGCUCACCAAGGCGAUGAUGGGUAGCCGGCCUGAGAGGGUGAACGGCCACAAGGGGACUGAGACACGGCCCUUACUCCUACGGGAGGCAGCAGUGGGGAAUAUUGGACAAUGGACCGAGAGUCUGAUCCAGCAAUUCUGUGUGCACGAUGAAGUUUUUCGGAAUGUAAAGUGCUUUCAGUUGGGAAGAAACAAAUGACGGUACCAACAGAAGAAGUGACGGCUAAAUACGUGCCAGCAGCCGCGGUAAUACGUAUGUCACGAGCGUUAUCCGGAUUUAUUGGGCGUAAAGCGCGUCUAGGUGGUUAUGUAAGUCUGAUGUGAAAAUGCAGGGCUCAACUCUGUAUUGCGUUGGAAACUGUAUAACUAGAGUACUGGAGAGGUAAGCGGAACUACAAGUGUAGAGGUGAAAUUCGUAGAUAUUUGUAGGAAUGCCGAUGGGGAAGCCAGCUUACUGGACAGAUACUGACGCUAAAGCGCGAAAGCGUGGGUAGCAAACAGGAUUAGAUACCCUGGUAGUCCACGCUGUAAACGAUGAUUACUAGGUGUUGGGGGUCGAACCUCAGCGCCCAAGCAAACGCGAUAAGUAAUCCGCCUGGGGAGUACGUACGCAAGUAUGAAACUCAAAGGAAUUGACGGGGACCCGCACAAGCGGUGGAGCAUGUGGUUUAAUUCGACGCAA
rnacentral:rRNA from 1 species